rnacentral:rRNA from 1 species
CUGUGUGACUGCGUACCUUUUGUAUAAUGGGUCAGCGACUUAUAUUCUGUAGCAAGGUUAACCGAAUAGGGGAGCCGAAGGGAAACCGAGUCUUAACGGGCGUUAAGUUGCAGGGUAUAGACCCGAAACCCGGUGAUCUAGCCAUGGGCAGGUUGAAGGUUGGGUAACACUAACUGGAGGACCGAACCGACUAAUGUUGAAAAAUUAGCGGAUGACUUGUGGCUGGGGGUGAAAGGCCAAUCAAACCGGGAGAUAGCUGGUUCUCCCCGAAAGCUAUUUAGGUAGCGCCUCGUGAAUUCAUCUCCGGGGGUAGAGCACUGUUUCGGCAAGGGGGUCAUCCCGACUUACCAACCCGAUGCAAACUGCGAAUACCGGAGAAUGUUAUCACGGGAGACACACGGCGGGUGCUAACGUCCGUCGUGAAGAGGGAAACAACCCAGACCGCCAGCUAAGGUCCCAAAGUCAUGGUUAAGUGGGAAACGAUGUGGGAAGGCCCAGACAGCCAGGAUGUUGGCUUAGAAGCAGCCAUCAUUUAAAGAAAGCGUAAUAGCUCACUGGUCGAGUCGGCCUGCGCGGAAGAUGUAACGGGGCUAAACCAUGCACCGAAGCUGCGGCAGCGACACUGUGUGUUGUUGGGUAGGGGAGCGUUCUGUAAGCCUGUGAAGGUGUCUGUGAGGAUGCUGGAGGUAUCAGAAGUGCGAAUGCUGACAUAAGUAACGAUAAAGCGGGUGAAAAGCCCGCUCGCCGGAAGACCAAGGGUUCCUGUCCAACGUUAAUCGGGGCAGGGUGAGUCGACCCCUAAGGCGAGGCCGAAAGGCGUAGUCGAUGGGAAACAGGUUAAUAUUCCUGUACUUGGUGUUACUGCGAAGGGGGGACGGAGAAGGCUAUGUUGGCCGGGCGACGGUUGUCCCGGUUUAAGCGUGUAGGCUGGUUUUCCAGGCAAAUCCGGAAAAUCAAGGCUGAGGCGUGAUGACGAGGCACUACGGUGCUGAAGCAACAAAUGCCCUGCUUCCAGGAAAAGCCUCUAAGCAUCAGGUAACAUCAAAUCGUACCCCAAACCGACACAGGUGGUCAGGUAGAGAAUACCAAGGCGCUUGAGAGAACUCGGGUGAAGGAACUAGGCAAAAUGGUGCCGUAACUUCGGGAGAAGGCACGCUGAUAUGUAGGUGAAGUCCCUCGCGGAUGGAGCUGAAAUCAGUCGAAGAUACCAGCUGGCUGCAACUGUUUAUUAAAAACACAGCACUGUGCAAACACGAAAGUGGACGUAUACGGUGUGACGCCUGCCCGGUGCCGGAAGGUUAAUUGAUGGGGUCAGCGCAAGCGAAGCUCUUGAUCGAAGCCCCGGUAAACGGCGGCCGUAACUAUAACGGUCCUAAGGUAGCGAAAUUCCUUGUCGGGUAAGUUCCGACCUGCACGAAUGGCGUAAUGAUGGCCAGGCUGUCUCCACCCGAGACUCAGUGAAAUUGAACUCGCUGUGAAGAUGCAGUGUACCCGCGGCAAGACGGAAAGACCCCGUGAACCUUUACUAUAGCUUGACACUGAACAUUGAGCCUUGAUGUGUAGGAUAGGUGGGAGGCUUUGAAGUGUGGACGCCAGUCUGCAUGGAGCCGACCUUGAAAUACCACCCUUUAAUGUUUGAUGUUCUAACGUGGACCCGUGAUCCGGGUUGCGGACAGUGUCUGGUGGGUAGUUUGACUGGGGCGGUCUCCUCCUAAAGAGUAACGGAGGAGCACGAAGGUUGGCUAAUCCUGGUCGGACAUCAGGAGGUUAGUGCAAUGGCAUAAGCCAGCUUGACUGCGAGCGUGACGGCGCGAGCAGGUGCGAAAGCAGGUCAUAGUGAUCCGGUGGUUCUGAAUGGAAGGGCCAUCGCUCAACGGAUAAAAGGUACUCCGGGGAUAACAGGCUGAUACCGCCCAAGAGUUCAUAUCGACGGCGGUGUUUGGCACCUCGAUGUCGGCUCAUCACAUCCUGGGGCUGAAGUAGGUCCCAAGGGUAUGGCUGUUCGCCAUUUAAAGUGGUACGCGAGCUGGGUUUAGAACGUCGUGAGACAGUUCGGUCCCUAUCUGCCGUGGGCGCUGGAGAACUGAGGGGGGCUGCUCCUAGUACGAGAGGACCGGAGUGGACGCAUCACUGGUGUUCGGGUUGUCAUGCCAAUGGCACUGCCCGGUAGCUAAAUGCGGAAGAGAUAAGUGCUGAAAGCAUCUAAGCACGAAACUUGCCCCGAGAUGAGUUCUCCCUGACCCUUUAAGGGUCCUGAAGGAACGUUGAAGACGACGACGUUGAUAGGCCGGGUGUGUAAGCGCAGCGAUGCGUUGAGCUAACCGGUACUAAUGAACCGUGAGGCUUAACCU